GUGAACGCUGGCGGUAGGCCUAACACAUGCAAGUCGAACGGCAGCACAGUAAGAGCUUGCUCUUACGGGUGGCGAGUGGCGGACGGGUGAGGAAUACAUCGGAAUCUACUUUUUCGUGGGGGAUAACGUAGGGAAACUUACGCUAAUACCGCAUACGACCUACGGGUGAAAGCAGGGGAUCUUCGGACCUUGCGCGAUUGAAUGAGCCGAUGUCGGAUUAGCUAGUUGGCGGGGUAAAGGCCCACCAAGGCGACGAUCCGUAGCUGGUCUGAGAGGAUGAUCAGCCACACUGGAACUGAGACACGGUCCAGACUCCUACGGGAGGCAGCAGUGGGGAAUAUUGGACAAUGGGCGCAGCCUGAUCCAGCCAUACCGCGUGGGUGAAGAAGGCCUUCGGGUUGUAAAGCCCUUUUGUUGGGAAAGAAAAGCAGCAGGUUAAUACCCCGCUGUUCUGACGGUACCCAAAGAAUAAGCACCGGCUAACUUCGUG
rnacentral:rRNA from 1 species